UCCAUCUCCCUGCCCACAGCUGCCUUUAUUCCAUUACCUUACAAAUCAAAGAGCAGUUCUCAAUCAGGAAAAUGUCAAAGAAAACUGUGGUAUCAGUGGACAUGCUGUGUUCAAAGUGUAAGAAGAAGGUGAUGAAGUUAGUUGCAGGCAUAGAAGGCAUAAAUUCAGUUGUCCUUGAUUCAACAAAAGGGACGGCUACGAUCAUCGGGGAAGCCGACCCAGCCACAAUCAUUAAGAAGAUAAGGAAAUUCAGAAAAUCAGCUGAGUUUGUGAGUAUAGGCCCACCCAAAGAAGAGAAGAAGGAUGAGAAGAAGGAUGUGUGCCCUUAUGUGCCAAGGACAUGUCACCAAUGUGAUACAUGGUUUGUGAUAUCUGAGGAUAGUUAUGGGCAUUGUUCCAUAUUAUAGUUAUAUAGAGCCCAUGACACAUGGGUCUUUUUUGGAAGGCUCAUCUUACUUCUUAUUUUCUAAGUAAUCUUGUUAUUACAUUGUCUAGUGAAUUAUAAUGUCCUUUUCUUUUUUUUCUUUUUU